rnacentral:rRNA from 1 species
AACUCUAAGAGAAAUUAAUUAAUGAACGAAGUGAAUUGAAAUAUCUUAAUAGCUUCAGGAAAAUAAAUCAAACGAGAUUCUAUUACUAAUGUGAAUAAAAGUAGAAAAGCUUAAACUAUUUUCCAAAACAAAUAAUUAAAAUGUUUUUAAUUUUGUUUGAAUUAAGGGGAACCUUCCUCUAAAGCUAAAUAUGGUUUAUAAGCGAUAGUGAAUUUAAGUACCGUGAGGGAAAUUAAUAAAUUAGUGGUUUUAUAAGCAGUUUAAGUUAAAUUAAAAUACGACUAAAACGUACCUUUUGCAUAAUGGGUCAGCAAGUUAAUUUUAGAUGCGAGCAUUUUAAAUAUGCCCAGAUAAACCAAUUAUGAAAUAAUGAUUGAGUGUCUAGAAUUAGACCCGAAGGCUAGUGAUCUUACUAUGAUCAGGGUUUUAAUAGCCCGCACGGUUUAUCGUUGCAAAGAUAUCCGAAGAAUUGUGGUAAGUAGGUGAAAGACAAUACUGACUAGUAUAGCUGGUUUUCCGCGAAACCUAUUUAAGUAGGUAGUUUAAUAUAUAUCUUAGCAGGUACAUAAUCGACUCUCUGACAAAACAUUUUAUAAGUUUUGUAUACAUCGGGGAAUUUGCGAAAAUUUUAUCGGUGGGUAGGCGUAAUCGAAAUGGCAAAGAUUUUAUUAAACAAUCAGACAUAAUAUGAUAAGGUAGUAUGUCUAAAGGGAAACAGCCCAAAACAAGAGUUAAUAAGGUUCCAAAAUUAUUAUUAAGUGAAAUAAAGGAAGUUGUUAUUUAAUACGGCCAGGGAAUAGGCUUAGAAGCGGCCAUUUUUUGAAGAUCUCGUAAUAGAGCACUGGUUAAUUGAGUUAAUUAAUUCAAUAAUAAAAAUAUAAUGGCGCCGAAAAUUUAACGGAUCUAAAUAAUAUACCGAAACCUUGUUCUUUUUAUAAAUAAUAUGAAUAAUUUUAAAUAUGUAGUGUUAUUAUAAAUAAGAGGUAGCGGAACGUUGGGUAAAUAUAAGAUUGUUUUUAUUUUAGAAAUGAAAUAAUAUAACCCAAGUGAUAAUGCUGACAUGAGUAACGAAAAAGGGCUAAUAGUCCUCGCCUUAAAUCUAUGACUAGUUAAUUGAAAGUAACGGCCUCUAAGUUUAUAAUCCUAAAGGAUUAGACGAUGAGAUAUAUCUAUUUUAUAUAGACAACCUUUUAAAUUAUUAUUAUGUAACUUUAACAACUAAAUUAAAAAAUUUGAAUUAAAUGAUAAAAUAGCUGUUUGUAGGUGUAAUCUUACAUAAAAUUAAUUAUAAGUAAUAAGUGUACAGGAAAUAUAUAUAUAUAUAUUAUAAUACCGUAUCUAGAAACUUUGAAAGUAGAUUAGUGUAGUAUACGAAGGCGAAUGAGUCAACAAUCAUUAAGGAACUCGGCAAACUAGCUUGCGUAACUUCGGGAUAAGCAGAGCCAUUCUUGUCUAAUAAUAUAGAUUAAGAAAAGGAGGCAUAGAAUAGUGUUGCACGACUGUUUAAUUAAAACAAAGCACUUUGCAAAAGACUUAAAGUCAAAGUAUUGAGUGUGAUGUCUGCCCUCUAUCGGCUGGUUAACAGAUUUACUUAGCUGUUUAAGUUAGGUUUUGCAGGAACCCCCGAUCAAUGGCGGUCUUAACUCUGAGGAUCCUAAGGUAGCGAAAUGCCUUGGCCGUUAAAUGCGGUCUUGCAUGAAUGAUUUCACGAUGCAACAGCUGUCUCAAUGAUUGACUCAGUGAAAUUGUAAUAAAGACCCUUUGCAGCUUUACUGUUGCUAUUUAUUGGAUAUAACUUUGCUAGUUUUAGAGGAUAAGGUAGUUGAUAAAACAUUAUUGAAACACCUUUACUUAGUUUGUUAUAUAAAUAGAAAUAAGGUAUAAUUGUAGAACUUUUAUAUCUUAAGUUUAUUAAACUAAUCCUAUUGGGAAACAAUUGGUAGUAGACAGUUUAUGCGGGGCACAGAUCCCAUAAAGAGUAACUGGGAAUGUCCAAAAUUAAUUCGUAUUUUUGCAUAAAGCAAUAAAAUAGUAAUUUACUAUUUUAUUUUUAAUUAAUUUGCAAUUAAUUGUUAAUAUUAAUAAUUAAUUCAACAUUGUUCUAUUGAGUUGGAAAUAUAUUUUUUAUUUUUGAAGUAAGAUUUUUACUAUAAGGAAAAUAGUUGCAACUAAAUCAAAUGUGUUACUCUAAAGUGACAAUGGUUUGCUUAAGGUUAAUUUUUAAAAGGAUUUCUUAAAAAUUAAUAAUUAGAUUUGCAUAAAAAGUUUAAUGGCUCAAUCUUGCUUUACUGUUUGACCUACAAGUCUUUCAGUCGCGUAAGCGGGGCAUAUGAUCACAAGAUGCAGAAAGGAAAGGUCUUGGAUUUUUGAAUAAAGCUACGCUAGGGAUAACAGGCUAAUUGCGCAAGAGAGUACAAAUUGGGAGUGCGCAGUUUGGCACCUCGAUGUCGGCUUGACUCAUCCACAUGAAUGCAAGAAGUAUGAAGGGUACGACUGUUCGUCGUUUAAUGAGUUACACGAGCUGGGUUAAAUACGUCGUGAGACAGUAUGGUUUCUAUCUUCUAGAGGAAUAUUAAAUAGAAUAGGGAUAGCCCCUUCGUACGAAAGGAGUUGGGUAUAUCAAUCUAUGGAUUACCUGUUGUU